rnacentral:rRNA from 1 species
CGGCACGGGUGAGUAACACGUAUCCAACCUGCCGUCUACUCUUGGCCAGCCUUCUGAAAGGAAGAUUAAUCCAGGAUGGCAUCAUGAGUUCACAUGUCCGCAUGAUUAAAGGUAUUUUCCGGUAGACGAUGGGGAUGCGUUCCAUUAGAUAGUAGGCGGGGUAACGGCCCACCAGCACGAUGGAUAGGGGUUCUGAGAGGAAGGUCCCCCACAUUGGAACUGAGACACGGUCCAA